GGAAAAAUGUAGUCAGUGUGGUAGCAGUUUGACUACUCAGGCUGUCAUUGUGGAGCAGGGUACCCGCAGAUGAACUCUCAAACACUGAAAGCAGUAGUCUGGAACAGGAAUAUAAACUUCUCCCUUGACUUACUUCAAAGGUGCAGAUUGCUGAGUAUCCAUGCAGCUGGGCAGAAAAAGAACCAUCUAACAAAUGUGUUGAUAUUCUUCAUGACUGCGACUGGAGAGAAGAGAGAAAACAACUGAAACAACUAAAGCUGAAGUAACAAAUGAAGAAUCUGUAAAGGUAACCUUGAAGAUUUUCUGUGGAACUGAACUUCAGGUAUAGUUUUACAAGGAGUAGUAGGUCUUUAUAAAAAGCACCACAGUAUCCUAUAACAAAAUUCUUGCUA